UAGAGCAAAUCUCAAAAAAACAUCUCAGUUCAGACUGCAGGCUGCAACUCGCCUGCACGAAGUCGGAAUUGCUAGUAAUCGUAGGUCAGCAUACUACGGUGAAUACGUUCCCGGGCCUUGUACACACCGCCCGUCAAACCAUGAGAGUUGGCAACACCCGAAGUCGGUAGUCUAACCGCAAGGAGGACGCCGCCGAAGGUGGGGUUGAUGAUUAGGGUUAAGUCGUAACAAGGUACC
rnacentral:rRNA from 1 species